rnacentral:rRNA from 1 species
UACAGAGGUCUCAAGCGUUGUUCGGAUUCAUUGGGCGUAAAGGGUGCGUAGGCGGCGCGGUAAGUCGGGUGUGAAAUCUCGGAGCUUAACUCCGAAACUGCAUUCGAUACUGCCGUGCUUGAGGACUGGAGAGGAGACUGGAAUUUACGGUGUAGCGGUGAAAUGCGUAGAUAUCGUAAGGAAGACCAGUGGCGAAGGCGGGUCUCUGGGCAGUUCCUGACGCUGAGGCACGAAGGUCAGGGGAGCAAACAGG